UGUUUUUGUUCCAGAGUGGAGAGGUGGACUGCUGGCCCAUGUCCUGCCCUCCAGUGGUGGACUGUGAGUUUACCCAGGUGCCCGAGGGGCAGUGCUGCCCGCGCUGCAUCACCGACCCCUGCCAGGCUGACACCGUCCGUAACGACAUCACCAAGACGUGUGUAGACGAGAACGGACUGACGCGCUUCAGCGGAGCCACCUGGACCAAACACAGAACAGAAUGCACCCUCUGCCAGUGCAAGAACGGACAUGUCUGUUGUUCAGUGGACCCUCUGUGCCUCUAGUCUGGCUCAAACAGAAAGAUAGUGAGAGCGAGCUCUACAAGGCAUCUAUCUUUGUACAGUCUCACCUUUAAUAAGAACUGAAACCCCUCCCCCAAACCUUCAACAUCUUUAUACCAAAUACCACCUGAACCCACCGUUCCAAGUGGAUGGAUGGCCUGCCGGCGCAACUCCAACCCUUGGUACCCAUCGACAGACUAUUGGAUGGUAUUGGAUGUUGUGAAAUAAAGUCUUCUGAUUGUGUAAAGAAACCUAAAGAAGUAUCUGUAUUCAGUGUUCACCUCUUUCUGCCCGUCUUUCACUUUGUAAAGGAAAAGGACCUUGGUAUUUGUGAAAAGUAAUGUUCUGGACUUUCUCCACUCCUUUUCUGUGUCCAUUCAGUUGUGUUGUUUGGUUCUGUAUUAUGGACUGUUUGUUCAGGGUUUAAUUGAAUUGAUUUGAUGGCUUGGUAUGGUGUAUUGAUGAAAUAAAGAUAUCCAUUAAAAAGGGGGACUGGUUGUCCCUCUCUGUA